rnacentral:rRNA from 1 species
GACGAACGCUGGCGGCGUGCCUAAUACAUGCAAGUCGAGCGCAGGAAACUGACGGAACUCUUCGGAGGGAAGGCAGCGGAAUGAGCGGCGGACGGGUGAGUAACACGUAAGGAACCUGCCUCAAGGAUUGGGAUAACUCCGAGAAAUCGGAGCUAAUACCGGAUAGUUCAACGGACCGCAUGGUCCGCUGAUGAAAGGCGCUCCGGCGUCAUCUUGAGAUGGCCUUGCGGUGCAUUAGCUAGUUGGUGGGGUAACGGCCCACCAAGGCGACGAUGCGUGGGCGACCUGAGAGGGUGAUCGGCCAAACUGGGACUGAGACACGGCCCAGACUCCUACGGGAGGCAGCAGUAGGGAAUCUUCCACAAUGGACGAAAGUCUGAUGGAGCAACGCCGCGUGAGUGAUGAAGGUUUUCGGAUCGUAAAACUCUGUUGUAAGGGAAGAACACGUACGAGAGGAAAUGCUCGUACCUUGACGGUACCUUACGAGAAAGCCACGGCUAACUACGUGCCAGCAGCCGCCGUAA